GGUGAACGCUGGCGGCGUGCCUAAUACAUGCAAGUCGAGCGAUCGGACGAGAAGCUUGCUUCUCUGAUGUUAGCGGCGGACGGGUGAGUAACACGUGGAUAACCUACCUAUAAGACUGGGAUAACUUCGGGAAACCGGAGCUAAUACCGGAUAAUAUUUUGAACCGCAUGGUUCAAAAGUGAAAGACGGUCUUGCUGUCACUUAUAGAUGGAUCCGCGCUGCAUUAGCUAGUUGGUAAGGUAACGGCUUACCAAGGCAACGAUGCAUAGCCGACCUGAGAGGGUGAUCGGCCACACUGGAACUGAGACACGGUCCAGACUCCUACGGGAGGCAGCAGUAGGGAAUCUUCCGCAAUGGGCGAAAGCCUGACGGAGCAACGCCGCGUGAGUGAUGAAGGUCUUCGGAUCGUAAAACUCUGUUAUUAGGGAAGAACAUAUGUGUAAGUAACUGUGCACAUCUUGACGGUACCUAAUCAGAAAGCCACGGCUAACUACGUG
rnacentral:rRNA from 1 species